rnacentral:rRNA from 1 species
GACGAACGCUGGCGGCGUGCCUAAUACAUGCAAGUAGAACGCACAGUUUAUACCGUAGCUUGCUACACCAUAGACUGUGAGUUGCGAACGGGUGAGUAACGCGUAGGUAACCUGCCUGGUAGCGGGGGAUAACUAUUGGAAACGAUAGCUAAUACCGCAUAAUAUUAAUUAUUGCAUGAUAAUUAAUUGAAAGGUGCAAUUGCACCACUACCAGAUGGACCUGCGUUGUAUUAGCUAGUAGGUGAGGUAACGGCUCACCUAGGCGACGAUACAUAGCCGACCUGAGAGGGUGAUCGGCCACACUGGGACUGAGACACGGCCCAGACUCCUACGGGAGGCACCAGUAGGGAAUCUUCCGCAAUGGGCGAAAGCCUGACGGAGCAACGCCGCGUGAGUGAUGAAGGUCUUCGGAUCGUAAAACUCUGUUAUUAGGGAAGAACAAAUGUGUAAGUAACUAUGCACGUCUUGACGGUACCUAAUCAGAAAGCCACGGCUAACUACGUG